GAUGAACGCUGGCGGCGUGCCUAACACAUGCAAGUCGAACGUUAGGGUCUAGCAAUAGACCCAAAAGUGGCGAACGGGUGAGUAACACGUAGGUAACCUGCCGCGCAGAGGGGGAUAACGACUGGAAACGGUCGCUAACACCGCAUGGUACUAGGUGGAUGGGAAUCCUUCUAGUUAAAACUUUGGUGCUGCGCGAGGGGCCUGCGUCCGAUUAGCUAGUUGGUGAGGUAACGGCUCACCAAGGCUGUGAUCGGUAGCUGGUCUGAGAGGAUGAUCAGUCACACGGGAACUGAGACACGGUCCCGACUCCUACGGGGGGCAGCAGUGAGGAAUAUUGCACAAUGGACGCAAGUCUGAUGCAGCAACGCCGCGUGGAGGAUGAAGGCCCUUGGGUUGUAAACUCCUUUUUUCAGGGAAGAGAAUGGACGGUACCUGAAGAAUAAGUCACGGCUAACUACGUGCCAGCCGCCGCCGUAAUAC
rnacentral:rRNA from 1 species